CUCAAAAUAGCCACAUUAGCAGAGUUCUUGUCCUAAAGCAUCUUAAUACAAACCGUAAAUAACACGAUACUCAUGAAAAGUUAGCAUAUAAUAUUUACAGUAACAUGGUACAAUCAUUCCAAAUAUGGCAUACCUAUGAAGUACAUCCAUGAGCAAAACUAAUUUCAAAUCACCAAGUGCCUUAGUUGAUUAGUGCAUUAGUUCCAUGUCGCAUACUAAGUCUUGAUGCUGAUAUAGUAGUGGUUGAGAGUGCAACCUAUAAAGCAAAUAUAUUAGAUAGAGCAAGACAUGUCAAUUGUAUUUCUCAAAUAGGAAACCAAAUCAUACCUUGCCUCUGUUUAAAAUUUGAUUUCUUUCAUGUACUAAGAUGCACAUUUUAUUUCAGGUAGUGUAACUAUAAGAUACUACGAUACAUGUUCUAUUCCAUGUUCUAUUCUAGGUAGUGUAAUAACUAAUUUAGAACUUCAAGGACCCAAAGAACAUAACUUGUCUUUACUGUUCUAAAGCAAAAAGGCUGCAGAGCGUAAUUGAUAAGGAUCCCAUCCUCAUCCAUUGUGAUAGUUGGUUGCAAAUCUUUUCUCCCACCAAGCAAAAAGAAUUUCAUAGUCAGUGUAGCAUAUGAGCUAUCAAAAAGGAAAACAAUGCUUCUCUAUACUACAACGUUGCAGGCACUAACUAAUAAGGUUAUGUGCUCCUGAAAAUCAGGAUAGCAUCAUCAUCACUGCUGAAAAAUCUAGCAUGAGCUCAAGUUGCUAUUUAUCUAUGCUUCUUGUGAUCUCUGCAUUGCCAAAUCAUAGAAAAUAAAACAAUGUCAAACUAUUGGCUUACAUAAGGGUAGGUAGAAAUGAAACCAUCCUAAUACACACAGAUUCAGCAAUUGAUGACUCCAUUCGAGAAAAACAUUAGGUAUAUGGUGAUAAGACACUACCUUCUAAUCUAGUGGUACACACUAAAAACAUGGACACUAAAAUGUUGAAAAUGACACUUUAUAGAAUCCAGUAGAUUACCAAUAAGAAGACACUUUCACUGACAAUGCUUUGGCUUCCUAUAUCUGCAUGGCCAUUCCAAAUAGACUCUGCAUGUACAUAGAGACUACUUCCGUUAAUCAGAAAAAUUGUCUGGACUGGUUCAAACAACAGAGAAUGAAUAGAACUGUGGCAAGAAAGGAUACAUCCAAGAGGCCACAGUGGAGAUUGAUUCUUAUCAAUGUCGAGCAUCUUGAGGGUUUUCUUCUCGAAAAAAAUAGAGGGGGGACAGGGAUCAGAAGGCCCCUUCAUCCUGCUAGGUAGACAUGGACACUUCUUUUCAAUUAUAUAGAGAUAUAGAUAGAGAGAAGUGAAGAGAAGAGAAAAGAGAGACAUAUAUCAUUACACAUAGUUUUUGAAAAAAUAUAGUAGAGGGAGUUUUAAAAAGCACACCAGAACCCAAAAGAUCAUUCAGAAAGAUAUAUAUGUAACACCAGAUGAAGGGGUCCAAAACAACAUACACCAAAAGAUAGCUACAAGUGCCAUAGUCGGCCAUGCCAUGUGGACCGAUUCGUUGAAUCUCAGCCUAUCUGAUAGGAUUUGCAAUAUUCCUAGAUCCAUCAUUCUUCUCUACUAAACACUCAGGACAAUUGUAACCACCUUCACGCAAAAGAUCCUCCACCACCCCUACACAUUUCAAAUGAAAAUGCAGCUGGACAACCAUCACAGCAUAACAAAUUGCCAUCCAAGCAAACAAAGAUGUCAUGCUCUUGUUCACAUAGAUGUAGCCAAGUAAUGCUAUGUUUGGCCUUAUGGUCCUCGAGUUCUCAUAGGUCCGAUGUGCUAACAGAGAAAAAAAUUUGUUCCAGUGAAGACUACAAAUUAUAGGAAUAAUCCAACAAAUACAAAGGACAUGGAAACUUACCAAAAAAGUAUGUAUUUUCAAUGGAGAAUCAAAGAUUAACCCACAUGUACAAAGGAGCUUCAACUCAGUUAUCUGCAAACUAUGGAGGAAUUCACAGAAGUCAACAAAAUUUUAGUGACCAGAGUCUAUGAUUACUUGCUCAUCAAGCCACCAUUGAAGAACUCCAAAUUGUCAAGGGGUUCUUUCUUUGAUAAGCUUGUUCACCUCUAUUAUGCCACAUUAAGUCAUUUUUCUCACAAUCUGACCUACUGGCUAUACAUCUGAAUGAGAGCAAACGAACAUUCUUUUAGAGACAAGAGCCAGGAGGUUGUAUAAUUGUAUUAUGCCGCAAAAGGGUUUUCCCUACUUUAUUUCCCUAAAAGAUAUAAUUAUAAAUUAAUAGACAAUAUUAUCCUCCAACUGACAAAAAAUUAUAAUUGUAAACUAAUAGACAAUAUUAUCCUCGGCUGUAAUCUGGAUCCGAGCAGGGCACACGAAGGCUUUGUCGGAUCCCGCUGCUGGUGACGCACCCUUGUCGGGCAGGGCCAUCACAGGUGAAUCGAAAGGCCCCGCCCCUGUCACAUCUGCCCUGCUCAGUGCCGGAUUGGAGCACAGGGAGGGGAAGUGGUGGUGUGGGUGAGAACCUCAGAGGUCCCUGCCAACAAAUGAAGAAACACAAGCACAAACAAAUAGGCAGGAGUCAGCAAAGGAAACACAUACUGUUUGCCAAUGGCGAGGGUGUUGUGGCUGCCGGUGCACUGAUGCCUAGUUACCCGUCCUCCAACUCAUCGUUCAGUUCACUAUUGCGGCUGCCGGUACACUGAUUUCACAUACUUUUUGUAUGUAAAAUCUGAGAUACCUGUAAUUCAUCGUUCAGUUCAAAUGGCAUUUCAAUUUGGCAAAGAUUUGUAAGUACUAAAAUAAUUUGGUAAAAAUUCUAUAUUAUUUCAAAUAAAUUUUUAUCAAGAGCAAUCCAUUUGAUGGCUUCUACGUAGUGCUGGCACCUACUAACAGAUUUGUGUGCCAAAGGAAAAGAACUUAUAGUAAUUUUUAAACGAGCUCUUGCAAAUCGAAGAUUAUUUAUGCUAGUGUUCGAAUCAGUACCUCUAAAGCACCACCAGAUUCAGGUGCUCUCGAUCUGUUUAUUGGCCUUGGAUUCAAGGGGGC
rnacentral:lncRNA from 1 species